UACGUAGGCAGCAAGCGUUGUUCGGAGUUACUGGGCGUAAAGAGUGUGUAGGCGGUUCUCUAAGUUCGGUGUGAAAUCUCCCGGCUCAACUGGGAGGGUGCGCCGGAAACUGGAGAGCUUGAGUAUGGGAGAGGAAAGCGGAAUUCCUGGUGUAGCGGUGAAAUGCGUAGAUAUCAGGAGGAACACCUGCGGUGUAGACGGCUUUCUGGACCAUCACUGACGCUGAGACACGAAAGCGUGGGGAGCAAACAGG
rnacentral:rRNA from 1 species